UGCAUGUCUGAGUACAUGCCGUAUUAAGGCGAAACCGCGAAUGGCUCAUUAAAUCAGUUAUGGUUCCUUGGAUCGUACUUCAUUACUUGGAUAACUGUGGCAAUUCUAGAGCUAAUACAUGCAGCAGAGCUCCGACCUUCGGGGACGAGCGCUUUUAUUAGACCAAAACCGAUCGGGCCUCGUGUCCGUGAAACGUGUUGACUCUGUAUAACUUUGGGCUGAUCGCACGGGCUCGUCCCGGCGACGUAUCUUUCAAGUGUCUGCCUUAUCAACUGUCGAUGGUAGGUUAUGCGCUUACCAUGGUCGUAACGGGUAACGGGGGAUCAGGGUUCGAUUCCGGAGAGGGAGCCUGAGAAACGGCUACCACAUCCAAGGAAGGCAGCAGGCGCGCAAAUUACCCACUCCCGGAACGGGGAGGUAGUGACGAAAAAUAACAAUACGGGACUCUUUUGAGACCCCGUAAUUGGAAUGAGUACACUCUAAAUCCUUUAA
rnacentral:rRNA from 1 species